rnacentral:rRNA from 1 species
CGGGGUGAGUAAUGUCUGGGAAACUGCCUGAUGGAGGGGGAUAACUACUGGAAACGGUAGCUAAUACCGCAUAAUGUCGCAAGACCAAAGAGGGGGACCUUCGGGCCUCUUGCCAUCGGAUGUGCCCAGAUGGGAUUAGCUAGUGGGUGGGGUAACGGCUCACCUAGGCGACGAUCCCUAGCUGGUCUGAGAGGAUGACCAGCCACACUGGAACUGAGACACGGUCCAG